AGUGAACGCUGGCGGUAGGCCUAACACAUGCAAGUCGAACGGCAGCACAGUAAGAGCUUGCUCUUACGGGUGGCGAGUGGCGGACGGGUGAGGAAUACAUCGGAAUCUACUUUUUCGUGGGGGAUAACGUAGGGAAACUUACGCUAAUACCGCAUACGACCUACGGGUGAAAGCAGGGGAUCUUCGGACCUUGCGCGAUUGAAUGAGCCGAUGUCGGAUUAGCUAGUUGGCGGGGUAAAGGCCCACCAAGGCGACGAUCCGUAGCUGGUCUGAGAGGAUGAUCAGCCACACUGGAACUGAGACACGGUCCAGACUCCUACGGGAGGCAGCAGUGGGGAAUAUUGGACAAUGGGCGCAAGCCUGAUCCAGCCAUACCGCGUGGGUGAAGAAGGCCUUCGGGUUGUAAAGCCCUUUUGUUGGGAAAGAAAAGCAGCAGGUUAAUACCCCGCUGUUCUGACGGUACCCAAAGAAUAAGCACCGGCUAACUUCGUGCCA
rnacentral:rRNA from 1 species